AUAGGUUUGGGAGGUCCUGAUUGCCAACACUCCUGGCUACCUUCAGAUCAAGAUGUAGAAUUGUCAGUUCCUUCUCCAAUACCACGUCUGCCUGCAAAAGUAACAGAAAGACCAGACAUGAGAUGGAGUUACCCUGCUACAUAAGUAGCUCCAGGUCAGAGCUGCUGACCUGGAGACCAGGAGGUCCCAGAGGUAUAGCCACAAGAGUCCUUUAACUUUUUCCUAAACAGUGAGACUUAUAAAGUUUAGGUUCCCUCCUCUCUGAAGACUUACUUGUGUCAAGCUGAUAUAAAAUUAGCCAGCACAACUCAGAAAGAAGAUACAACUGGUCUAAACACUCAACCCAGAAAGCUGGAGAAAGGUCAGAGGUUCCCUUUCCAGCCUGACCCUGGCCUUAUGCCAGGGAAGGAGUGCUGUAGAGGUUUGUAAACAGUACGAUAUGACAUUUAGUAACCAGUAUGUAAGCAGUAGAAUAUGAAACUGAUAUAUUUGGAGAAAAAUAAGGUACUCCCUAUUAAAAUUUUAAAUAGC
rnacentral:lncRNA from 1 species